rnacentral:piRNA from 1 species
UGGAAAUAAAGUAACUUUUAUCUCUUGUC